AGUUUUUUGGACAGAGACGAGAUUCGGUGUGAUCGGCUUAUCUAAAGCUUCAUAUUUCACGACUUCGACCGAGAUUCAACAGACCAUACAUACUCGGCAGAUUGUGCUCAAUCAAGACAAAGCAAACAUGGCUCACAAUUUUGAACUGCUGUGCCGUCUUGCAAGAGAGUGAGAUUCAGCAACACAUAGAAAGACCACAGCAUUGAUUAAGAGACAGGAAGAAUCCAUUUGAAUACUACGAGGAUGAACCUCUCAGAGUGGGGUACCAACAGAGAGAACCACACAUUGCCUGUCAUGUUACAGGUUUUGACAGGACUUUGUUUUAUGUCAUUGGUACCUUUUAGAAGAUGCAAGCAGACGAAGCAACUAUAUCACAGUCAUCCGUGUGCAGAAUCAUCAAAGAUUUUUCUGAGGCAAUAGCAAGGAGUAACAGUCAAUGAAGUUUCCGAUGACGAGAAAUUCAAACCACCCAGCGACAAUUUGAUGAUUGCUACAGGUUUCCAAGAGUCAUAGGUGCUAUCGAUUGGGGCCAAUCCAGGCCAUGUCUGCAUCAGGAGUCCUGAUGGGGAACAAGCCCUGUACUUAGCAGGAAGAACAGGUCUUCUGUAAAUGUAUAGGUAUCCGUUGCUCCCCUCUUUGAUGAAUUCCUGCCUGCAUUCUGUUGUCAAUAGAAAAGGACGGUGUGCUACGGGUAUAAGCAUUCCAUUGGAUUAUCUGUGCAUGAAGGUGGACACUUGUGAUAAAAAAUGGUAGCUUGGUUGUAGUGGCGUACCUAGGAUUUUCCACAGGGAGGGCAAAACCGUUCGGCCGAAAAAUUUUACAAGUAAAAAAAAAAAAGGUCUUCAAUCACAAAUAAAGGAUUUCGUACCAGAAAAAAAAUUGACAAGCAAAAAAAAAAGGUGUUCAAGCUCGUCAGGGGGGCAGGUAUACGUCCUUUGCAUGGGUUGUGGCUCGUCAGGGGGGGGGGGGGGGGCAGAGUGCCCCCCCCCCUUAGGUACGCUAGUGCUUGGUUGAUAGGAUGUAUUCAUGCAUUCCGAUUUAUCAUUAGUGAUCAAAUGACCAUCUUGCUUUUUAAAAACCCAAGUUCACAACAUUUUUCUUGUUUGAUAAAAGGUUUGGGACGUGAAUUCCAGGAUAUAAAUGACACAUAUGAUGGGCUAAUGUAUAAGCAGGGACAUGAGAGGUAUAAGCAACAUUUUUUUCAUGCUUAAUUAAGUUUGGCAUGAGAUGGACUUGGUCUUUCUUAUGAUUCAAGUCUAUUUUAUACCAAUUUUGUUUUAAUCAACAAUCAAUGUUUUAAGUCUCAUGAUUUCAAUUUCAAAACCUCUUUGUUAAUUAAAUAUUCAUUUUUCCUUAGCAUUUGCAUCUUCUUAAUUUAUCAAAUUUAAAUUAUAAGAUAUCAUUUUUGCUGAAUAUCCUUUUUUUCACCUAUUUUCAUAGGCCCUAAGAUACAUUUCUGUAGUAAGCACUAUAAAUACAUUGCAAGCUAUUAUCAUUUGUUUGAUAUUACUAUUUUAUAGAAUCAUCUUUUAAUUUCUUUCAGAAAGAUAUUUGACAAAUUACUUGUGAUAUCCAUGCUUUAGCUGUAGAGUUUAAAAUCUUCAUUAAACUUUAUUUAAUCCGUUGUUUAUCUAUUUUCAUUCAGAGUUUCUGAAAACGUAAACAUAUCAUUUGUAUCAUUAUGUAAAGAAUUUCAAUCUACCUUAAAAAGUAAUGCACUAAAUAAACUGCUCUGUCUACUACAAAUG